rnacentral:lncRNA from 1 species
UAGGCGACCUAGUCGCUUCGGUGAGCACAACCCACCUCGAUUUGCUCUCCGAUUGAUUGUAGUCACUUGCAAUAGGCCUCCCGCGGCACCCGUAUCCGACACGGCCCGAUCUUGCAGUUGCGCACCAACCGUGAGCCGCUUCGCAGUUUUGAAAAUUAUAGGUCUACGGUUUGCCGCCACGGUACUCCAAAUCCAUUUUCAUAAUUUUUGGACGUCGCCUCGGCCCUCAAGGCGGAACGAAGCUCCGAACAUCCGUUUCUUC